AUUGAACGCUGGCGGCAUGCUUUACACAUGCAAGUCGAACGGUAACAGGCCUUCGGGUGCUGACGAGUGGCGAACGGGUGAGUAAUGCAUCGGAACGUGCCCAAUCGUGGGGGAUAACGUAGCGAAAGUUACGCUAAUACCGCAUACGACCUACGGGUGAAAGUGGGGGACCUUCGGGCCUCACGCGAUGAGAUGAGCCGAUGCCGGAUUAGCUAGUUGGCGGGGUAAAGGCCCACCAAGGCGACGAUCCGUAGCUGGUCUGAGAGGAUGAUCAGCCACACUGGAACUGAGACACGGUCCAGACUCCUACGGGAGGCAGCAGUGGGGAAUAUUGGACAAUGGGGGGCAACCCCUGAUCCAGCCAUGCCGCGUGUGUGAGAAGGCCUCGG
rnacentral:rRNA from 1 species